rnacentral:piRNA from 1 species
UCACGAGAAUGGUUUCCAGCCCAGUU